rnacentral:rRNA from 1 species
UACGUAGGGACCGAGCGUUGUCCGGAUUUAUUGGGCGUAAAGAGCGUGUAGGCGGCCAGACAAGUCCGUUGUGAAAACUAGAGGCUUAACCUCUAGACGUCGAUGGAAACUGUUUGGCUAGAGUCCGGAAGAGGAGAAUGGAAUUCCACGUGUAGCAGUGAAAUGACGUAGAGAUGUGGAGGAACACCGAUGGCGAAGGCAGCCCCCUGGGGUAACACUGGACGCUCAUGCACGAAAGCGUGGGGAGCAAACAAGG